rnacentral:misc_RNA from 1 species
GAAAUGCGAUACGUAAUGUGAAUUGCAGAAUUCAGUGAAUCAUCGAGUCUUUGAACGCACAUUGCGCCCCCUGGUAUUCCGGGGGGCAUGCCUGUCCGAGCGUCAUUGCUGCCCUCAAGCACGGCUUGUGUGUUGGGCCCCCGUCCCCCCCCCAGGGGACGGGCCCGAAAGGCAGCGGCGGCACCGUGUCCGGUCCUCGAGCGUAUGGGAAGCAACUUUUUGUCACCCGCUCCUGUAGGUCCGGCCGGCGGCCUGCCCAACCCCAACCUUUUUUUCAACCAGGUUGACCUCGGAUCAGGUAGGGAUACCCGCUGAACUUAAGC